rnacentral:rRNA from 1 species
CAGUCGCCGCGGGAAUACAAAGGGUGCGAGCGUUAAUCGGAUUUACUGGGCGUAAAGCGUGCGUAGGCGGCUUCUUAAGUCGGAUGUGAAAUCCCUGAGCUUAACUUAGGAAUUGCAUUCGAUACUGGGAAGCUAGAGUAUGGGAGAGGAUGGUAGAAUUCCAGGUGUAGCGGUGAAAUGCGUAGAGAUCUGGAGGAAUACCGAUGGCGAAGGCAGCCAUCUGGCCUAAUACUGACGCUGAGGUACGAAAGCAUGGGGAGCAAACAGGAUUAGAUACCCGCGUAGUCCCUGUCUCUUAUAC